rnacentral:rRNA from 1 species
GACGAACCGAGCGAACGUUGUUCGGAUUCAUUGGGCUUAAAGGGCGCGUAGGCGGGCCGCCGAGUCAGGGGUGAAAUCCUCCAGCUUAACUGGAGAACUGCCCCGGAUACUGGAGGGCUCGAGGAGGGUAGGGGCAUUCGGAACUGUGGGUGGAGCGGUGAAAUGCGUUGAUAUCCACAGGAACUCCGGUGGCGAAGGCGGGGUGCUGGACCCUUUCUGACGCUGAGGCGCGAAAGCCAGGGGAGCAAACGGG